rnacentral:lncRNA from 1 species
GUAAUCAGAGUAAAAAGAUACAACAUUUAAGUAGAUCAAAACUACGAGGCAUCUAGUGUUGCCUAGGAAAGAAACAGGUGUCACUGGUGACAUAUUGCAAUCCUAUUGCACAAAUUCUGCAAGAGAACACCCACAAUCGACAUGUUACUGUGUUUGCCAAAUCUGCAUUAUUCUGGGAAUCAGAAAAUCUGGAGCGAUUGCAGCUAAGAUAUUUAAUGGAAAUCUGGAAAUCUCUAUAUUUAUAUUGGAAUUCUCAUAUAUGCAGACUAAGAUGAUAUGAUCAGAUCGAAACUACUGCGUUUAAAGUGAUCUUGCUGCUGAUCUCUGUGGGCUCUCAACCUGAUGAUGUGCAUUCAGUACAACAUAGAGGAAAGAAGCAAGGUUAGUGCUUUUAGUAUCUUAAGUGUUUUUGGUGUCAUCUCGACUAUUUUCUG